AUUUGAUGAUGUGGACAUUGUGUCUGCAACUCCCCAAAUCUUUUCCAAGCUUCGAAGAAUUCAUCCGUAUGCUUCUGUCCAAAAGUUAGGAUCUUGUUCCUUAACU
rnacentral:snoRNA from 1 species